GAGUUUGAUCAUGGCUCAGAAUGAACGCUGGCGGCGUGCUUAACACAUGCAAGUCGCACGAGAACUCUUCUGCUUGCAGAAGAUAGUAAAGUGGCGCACGGGUGAGUAACGCGUGGGCAAUCUACCUCUGAAUUGGGGAUAACCCCGCGAAAGCGGGGCUAAUACCGAAUAAUAUCCCGAGAACUUAGGCUUUUGGGAUCAAAGGUGGCCUCUACAUGUAAGCUACUGUUUAGAGAUGAGCCCGCGUACCAUUAGCUUGUUGGUAGGGUAAUGGCCUACCAAGGCAACGAUAGUUAGCUGGUCUGAGAGGAUGAUCAGCCACACUGGAACUGACACACGGUCCAGACUCCUACGGGAGGCAGCAGUGAGGAAUUUUGCGCAAUGGGGGAAACCCUGACGCAGCAACGCCGCGUGAGUGAUGAAGGCUUUCGAGUCGUAAAGCUCUGUCAAGUGAGAAGAACCUAUCCCGCGUUAAUAUCGCGGGAUACUGACGGUAUCACUGAAGGAAGCACCGGCUAACUCCGUGCCAGCAGCCGCGGUAAUACGGAGGGUGCAAGCGUUAUUCGGAAUUAUUGGGCGUAAAGGGCGCGUAGGCGGUCUUUUAAGUCAGAUGUGAAAGCCCGGGGCUCAACCCCGGAAGUGCAUUUGAAACUAAGGGACUUGAGUAUGGGAGAGGGAAGUGGAAUUCCUGGUGUAGAGGUGAAAUUCGUAGAUAUCAGGAGGAACACCGGUGGCGAAGGCGACUUCCUGGACCAAUACUGACGCUGAGGCGCGAAGGCGUGGGGAGCAAACAGGAUUAGAUACCCUGGUAGUCCACGCAGUAAACGGUGAACACUAGGUGUAGCGGGUAUUGACCCCUGCUGUGCCGCAGUUAACGCAUUAAGUGUCCGCCUGGGAGUAGCGGCCU
rnacentral:rRNA from 1 species